CCCAUUUGUAAAAGAAGUUAGGUAUUGUGUUAGCACUAUCAUUACCCACAUAGUAGUGGAGAGUAGUGGAGAUUAGUGGAGAUGUUAGUAGAGAUGUUAGGUUAUAAAUAUGGAGAUGUAGUCUUGUAUGAAGUGUGACACACUUGUAGUGUGUGUGCACCGUGGAGAAUGGGCAGUGAGAAGGAAGAAAGGAGAGAGUCUCCAUGUUUGUGUAUUGUGUGGAGAAAGUGUGUGA
rnacentral:sRNA from 1 species